AAGAGAAAAGAACAAAAAUGAAAGAAAAGGCAGAGGGAAAAGAAAUAAAAAGAACAAAGGGGGAAAAGCCAAAAGAAGAAAGGAAAAGGAAAAAAGGAAAAAUAAGGGGGAAAUAAAAGGAAAAGAAAAAGAAAAUAAAAGAAAAAGGGAAAACAAAAGGAAGAAGAAUUAAAGUGAGAAGAAAGUUAUUAAGAAGACCUACAGCACUGUGGUGUCCCAGCAUGGCCAUGGCCUGCCCCAGCCUCCUGCUGCCAACUACGGCAGGCUCCAGGCAGCCUCUCCCUGCUGACACCACACAGGCUGAGCCCCACUGAAAGCAGAAACCAGCUCCUUCCUUUUCCCCAUCUUCCUCUUUUCAUCUCCAUCUCCAUCUCCCUCCUUUCAGCACCACCUCCCCUUUUCACAGGAUGUCAGGGGUUGGAAGGACCCAAAGAGCUCAUCCAGUUCAACUCCCCUGCCAGGACAGGACCACACAGUUUAGCUCAGGGCACACAGAACACAUCCAGACAGGCCUUGAAAGGCUCCAGAGAAGGAGACUCCACAACCUGUGCCAGGGCUCUGGGACCCUUACACUCAAGAAGUUCCCCUUGUGUUGAGCUGGAACCUCCUGUGCUGCAGCUUCCAUCCAUUGCUGCUUGUCCUGGCCCAGGGAGCAGUGAGCAGAGCCUGUGCCCCCCCUCCUGACCCUCAGAGAUGUAUGAACAUUUAUUAAAUCCCCUCUCAGUCUUCUCUUCUCCAGAUUGUGCUGAGCUGGAACCUCCUGUGCUGCAGCUUCCAUCCUUUCCCACCAUCCCUGCCCCAUUUUCCCCUUGCCCCCAAGCCCAGAGCACCUGGGUGCUGUUGGAGUCUCCUCCCGCCCCAGCUGUGGCCACUUUGCCCUCCCUGCCCACUCCCCUUUAUAAUCAGCUCAGGAGGGGCAGAAGCCCCAAGCUUGCCCAACUGGGCAGAGGGAUCCUCCUCCUGGCAUCGCUGGCCAGAGCAAGAGCAGAGUGACAGAGCCCUGGAUCCUCGUGCCCUGGUUCCUCGUGCCCUGCCCCAUCAGGGGCAGCUGGCAGCUCUUGCUGAACCUCCCAUUUUUUUCCAGCCCUUUUGUUUCUCAACAGCAACCAAAAAGAUAAUGUUUACAUUGGAAUCAAGAGUGGGAGCCUGCAGAUCACAUCCCAGAGAGACACAGGUGCCACAGAGUGACAGCUGCAGAAGGGAUAAGCUGGAAAUGGGAACCUUUUCCUAGUGGGACACUUCCUGCUGACCAGAAGAGCUUUGAACUGCCACCAUUUGAUAAGGGAUCCUCAUCAAACCCAGCUGCUGCUCCAUCUUUUUUUUGUUCCCCACUCCUGAGAUGGCUCUGGGGUCAUUUGUCUGUGCUGGUUUGCAGCUGAAGAAUUAAACCCCGUGGGAAUGUGCUGGGAGCACAGUGUGGGAGUCUGCACACCAAGGCUGGACACAACCAGGGCUAUUCCCAGGGCUGCUUUGCCAGGGUGGCCAUCCCAGGUGUCGUGGAGGGGCCAUGGGCUCAAAAAUAGGCUUAUUUAUGCCUUACCUUGCCUGGAUAUGUUUUUCUGCUCACACCAGGGGUAAAUGUAUUGAACAAGCACAAAGGGGCACAACAGACCUGGUGCCAUAAAGCCUGGCAUGCCCAGGACCCCUGAUUGUGUGAGCCCCCACACACCCAGCUCAUGCCUGCCUAGUGUAAGGCUCCUGUGAUUCCCACAUUUGGAAGGUCCAGGCCUGUGGCUUUUGCCCAUUAUGGUGAGGUUUGGCUGCCUGCCAACCUGAUUGGCCAUUCUAGUGGCCAAGGGGCCAGAAUUCAUGGCCCACAGUUAAUGAAUGGGGGUGCACAGCUAAAGAAGGUGCUUGCUCCCCCACAUUGCUUGCUGCCUGUCUGUGUGCUCACUUGCAGAGCUCACUUAAGCCUGCCUGUAUGUUUGUGGAGCUCAGACUCCUGUGCAGCAGUGCACCCUGUUGCAUGCCCACUGCCUCAUUACCUGGUGGGUGCCACUGGCACGAGCUGCCAGGAGCAGACCCACUUGUGAGCAGCCAGCGUUAGAGCAUGCUCAGACAGCACAGCAUCCUGCCUCUGCACCUGAGCUCCUGCCUAUGUACCCCUGGAGAGAGCAUCCAGAAGAGUCCAGCAGCACAAGGUCAGAGACUGUUUCCCCUGAAGCCAGGAGGAUUCCAGCCUCAAAGGCCACAGGCAGAGACCCUGAGGAAUUGGACACUCACACAGGCUGUGGUGCAGCCCCGGAGGGUGAUUAUUGAUCAAGCAGGAAUUGUGAGCAAAUGCUUUGAUGCCUCUGUAAUUUCUAUUGCCUCCUGCCAUAGAGCAGAAAGAGCUUUCAGCCCACCUGCUGGGCCAGCAGUAUAUGACCCCAAGUGGCAUUAAGCCACAGGGAAGAUCCUCUCUCUGUUUAAUAGUUAGAAUGCAUGCUAGUCAUUAACAAGUUGCUGUUUGAGGUAUUCCUAUAAUGCCCUCCAUGACUGUGUAGAUCCAUGUGAAUAUUAAAGUUCAGUGGUUGGGGGUGGUGAGAGUUGAAAAUAUUGAAGUUAAUAAAUAUAUGUUUUGAUAAAAUA